UACAGAGGUCUCAAGCGUUGUUCGGAUUCAUUGGGCGUAAAGGGUGCGUAGGCGGCGGAGUAAGUCGGGUGUGAAAUCCCUCAGCUCAACUGAGGAAUUGCGCCCGAAACUACUUUGCUAGAGGAAGAUAGGGGUACGCGGAACUUAGGGUGGAGCGGUGAAAUGCGUUGAUAUCCUAAGGAACACCGGUGGCGUAAGCGGCGUACUGGGUCUUUUCUGACGCUGAGGCACGAAAGCUAGGGGAGCGAACGGG
rnacentral:rRNA from 1 species